CUUUGCUAUGUAUUGCCGGAACCCUCCUGCUCUGUCUUCUGCAUUCUGCAGCUGGGUCCAAGUGACAAUCCCGCGCUUUGAAAGAUCCCUGGACUCAAGAACAGUCUGGGCUUAACUCCUGGCUUCAUUACUAACUGUAAACCAAAGCUCACUGAACCUCAGUUUCCCCAACUAUAAAAUAAGGGGGGGGAGGAUGUUGAAAUCCCUACCAAAGACACAAUGCUAUGUGACAUUAACAUACGUGCAUGGAUCCAAUCACAUCAUUUCAUUUUCUCCUUUUGAUAUCCAGUAAGCAUCCGCCGAGCACAGAGUAUCAAGUUGUCACCCACAUCACCUCAGUAGCACCUCCCAUCAGUGGCACGGCUGGGUGAGUCUU
rnacentral:lncRNA from 1 species